rnacentral:rRNA from 1 species
CGUAGGUGGCAAGCGUUGUCCGGAUUUAUUGGGCGUAAAGCGAGUGCAGGCGGUUCAAUAAGUCUGAUGUGAAAGCCUUCGGCUCAACCGGAGAAUUGCAUCAGAAACUGUUGAACUUGAGUGCAGAAGAGGAGAGUGGAACUCCAUGUGUAGCGGUGGAAUGCGUAGAUAUAUGGAAGAACACCAGUGACGAAGGCGGCUCUCUGGUCUGCAACUGACGCUGAGGCUCGAAAGCAUGGGUAGCGAACAGGAUU